ensembl:lncRNA
UGGUUGGGGUGAGAGAUAGAUAGUGGUUGGGGUGAGAGAUAGAUAGUGGUUGGGGUGAGAGAUAGAUAGUGGUUGGGGUGAAAGAGAGAUAGUGGUUGGGGUGAGAGAGAUAGUGGUUGGGGUGAGAGAUAGAUAGUGGUUGGGGUGAAAGAGAGAUAGUGGUUGGGGUGAAAGAGAGAUAGUGGUUGGGGUGAGAGAGAGAGUGGUUGGGGUGAGAAAGAGAGUGGUUGGGGUGAGAGAGAUAGUGGUUAGGGUGAGAGAGAGAAAUAGUGGUUGGGGUGAGAGAGAGAUAGUGGUUGGGGUGAGAGAUAGAUAGUGGUUGGGGUGAGAGAUAGAUCGUGGUUGGGGUGAGAGAUAGAUAGUGGUUGGGGUGAGAGAUAGAUAGUAGUUGGGGUGAGAGAUAGAUAGUGGUUGGGGUGAGAGAUAGAGAGUGGUUGGGGUGAGAGAGAUAGUGGUUGGGGUGAGAGAGAGAGAUAGAUAUUGGGGUGAGAGAUAGAUAGUGUUUGGGGUGAAAGAGAGAUAGUGG